GACGUAGGGGGCGAGCGUUGUCCGGAUUUACUGGGCGUAAAGAGCGCGCAGGCGGUCGUUCAAGUCGAGUGUGAAAGCCCCCGGCUCAACUGGGGAGGGUCAUUCGAUACUGAUCGACUCGAAGGCAGGAGAGGGAAGUGGAAUUCCCGGUGUAGUGGUGAAAUGCGUAGAUAUCGGGAGGAACACCAGUGGCGAAGGCGACUUCCUGGCCUGUUCUUGACGCUGAGGCGCGAAAGCUAGGGGAGCAAACGGG
rnacentral:rRNA from 1 species